UGUUCAAGUUGUAGCCGUAUGAAAAAAUACUCUCAAAGACUAUGAAAAACGUAUUUUCUGAGCUUAACCUGCACAUCGAUAAGUGUUGUUAAACAUAAUAGCUCAACAAUAUUUUGUGAAUACUGAAGGUAUUCGAGACAUUUCCAAAAGAGGAAAAAUUGAACUAAGCCUAUAUCAAUAAAAUUUGGACUUGUGUGUUUUCCAUGUGGGCAUCGGUAGGUUAAUGUUUCAGUCCGAUCCAUCCUGUUUUCUUUGUAGUGAUUUGGCAACAAUUCAUUUGACUUCAUUUGAAUCUGAUGAGCUUUGUCCAGCUGCCAAUAGAGCUUUUUUUGCAGCUGGGGGCUUGCUUUGAGGAGGAAGAAAGGCUUCCAUGUCCAAAGUUGGUGACGACUUAGCAUAGUCAUGACACGUGGCGGUCCUCAAUACGGUAGCUUUUUCUCCCGCGACUGGACAUUAAGAAGCUCAGAAGGGAAGUACCUAAGCAGACGCCAUCUUGGCUAGCCUCCCGUCCACUUGACCUCCUGGAUACAAGAAGUGCUCCUAAGAAACCAGGAAGUAAACAAAUAAAACACUGAGAAAAACCAAAAAGUAGAAACCAAUCGAAGUGAAUUGCAAUAACCGUUGGAACCUUACAGCUGGACAGUGUGUACACCCAAUGACGCUAUCAGAAAGAAAUCCACUUUAUUUAGCCCUCACACCGUGACAGAGCACGUGU